rnacentral:rRNA from 1 species
CAGUCGCCACGGGAAUACGUAGGUGGCAAGCGUUGUCCGGAAUUAUUGGGCGUAAAGGGCUCGCAGGCGGUUUCUUAAGUCUGAUGUGAAAGCCCCCGGCUCAACCGGGGAGGGUCAUUGGAAACUGGGAAAUUUGAGUGCAGAAGAGGAGAGUGGAAUUCCACGUGUAGCGGUGAAAUGCGUAGAGAUGUGGAGGAACACCAGUGGCGAAGGCGACUCUCUGGUCUGUAACUGACGCUGAGGAGCGAAAGCGUGGGAAGCAAAUGGGAUUAGAGACCCGCGUAGUCCCUGUCUCUUAUAA